rnacentral:rRNA from 2 species
GUAGGUGGCAAGCGUUGUCCGGAUUUAUUGGGCGUAAAGCGAGUGCAGGCGGUUCAAUAAGUCUGAUGUGAAAGCCUUCGGCUCAACCGGAGAAUUGCAUCAGAAACUGUUGAACUUGAGUGCAGAAGAGGAGAGUGGAACUCCAUGUGUAGCGGUGGAAUGCGUAGAUAUAUGGAAGAACACCAGUGGCGAAGGCGGCUCUCUGGUCUGCAACUGACGCUGAGGCUCGAAAGCAUGGGUAGCGAACAGGAUUAGAUACCCUGGUAGUCCAUGCCGUAAACGAUGAGUGCUAAGUGUUGGGAGGUUUCCGCCUCUCAGUGCUGCAGCUAACGCAUUAAGCACUCCGCCUGGGGAGUACGACCGCAAGGUUG